rnacentral:lncRNA from 12 species
GCUUUAAUCACUUUUGGGUGAUUAAAACAAGCUCUGGCUUUGAAGUGCCUCUGCUGUUUGUUGGUGGAAUGAGGAUGGACAUGGAGAAAAGCUGGAGCACAGCACUGGGAAGAGGUGGAUGGGUGGAAAAAGGAUGGGAUGGAGCAAGGGGUGGAUGGAAAUCCCACUGGGACUGCUGGAAAUGCAGAGUGAGCAGCAGGAAUAAGUUAGGGUUGGACAAGUUGGAUUUGGAGAGAAGUUGGAUUUGCAGAUUUUGGCUCCCCCUUGAUGUCUGUCAGGGUUUGUUGAAGGGUUUCACGGGCUCUCCCUGGACUUGUCUGAAUUCCCAAGGGAUGGAGGGAGGGGAAAUCAGCCACACGCCUUCCUUGGGCAAUAAAAGGCAGCCCCAGGUCCUGCCCAAGCCCCUCCAACUCCACAGGGCAGGAGGCAGCUCCAGGGUCUGGUUGUUCCCCUGCUCUGUCCUGCCUUUUGUGCUUUUACAUCAACAGCAAGGCAAGAUCUCGUCCAGAAAUCGAGAUUAAAUUCAUCCCUUCCUUUAGCAGUGGCUUAAAAAAUUCUGAUUUGCUGCAGUUCUCUCCUCCUUUCUCCCCAGAUUAUCUGUGCACACCACAGUUAUUCCUCACCACAA